UACGUAGGGUGCGAGCGUUAAUCGGAAUUACUGGGCGUAAAGCGUGCGCAGGCGGUCUGUUAAGACCGAUGUGAAAUCCCCGGGCUCAACCUGGGAAUGGCAUUGGAUACUGGCUCGCUAGAGUGCGGUAGAGGGUGGUGGAAUUCCCGGUGUAGCAGUGAAAUGCGUAGAGAUCGGGAGGAACAUCUGUGGCGAAGGCGGCCACCUGGACCAGCACUGACACUGAGGCACGAAAGCGUGGGGAGCAAACAGG
rnacentral:rRNA from 1 species